CGACUCUCGGCAACGGAUAUCUUGGCUCUCGCAUCGAUGAAGAACGCAGCGAAAUGGGAUACUUGGUGUGAAUUGCAGAAUCCCGUGAACCAUCGAGUCUUUGAACGCAAGUUGCGCCCGAGGCUAUCCGGCCGAGGGCACGC
rnacentral:rRNA from 1 species